rnacentral:rRNA from 1 species
GUGCAGCAGGCGAGAAACCUCCGCAAUGCUCGAAAGAGCGACGGGGGGACUCCAAGUGCCUACGCUCAGCGUAGGCUGUUCCCGAGCCUAAAAAGCUCGGGGAGUAAGGGCUGGGUAAGACGGGUGCCAGCCGCCGCGGUAAUACCCGCAGCCCGAGUGGUGGCCGCUAUUAUUGGGCCUAAGCGUCCGUAGCCGGCUCGGUAAAUGCCUGGGUAAAUCGUCUGGCCCAACCAGACGAAUUCCGGGUAGACUGCCGGGUUAGGGACCGGAGGAGGGAGAGGGUACUCCAGGGGUAGGGGUGAAAUCAGCAAGGUGAGUUGCUGAUGUAACUUGCCUUGCAAGUCACAAUCCUGUAAUCCCUGGAGGACCACCGGUGGCGAAGGCGCUCUCCUAGGAC